UAUAUCACGAAUAACGUUCCCGCUGGUAUUUGCGUUAUUCAAUCUGGUCUACUGGAGCACUUAUCUCUUCAGGGAAGAGGAGGAUGAGACCUUCUAAAGGCGAUCGGAUUGUGAUGUUGAAAUCAAUGAAAGCAAAGUGCAGAAAACUAGGAAUAAGCAGCUAUGUAGAAUCCAAAAAUCAAA